AAUAUUUUGUGCGAGCAUUUUUUAAUCAACAUUUUAAAGUGUUCCCAUGUCUCAUAGAAGCUUUCUCCUUCCAUCUAUCUAAAGGCAACAAUAUCUCUUCUUAAU
rfam:Gossypium hirsutum cultivar TM-1 chromosome 2, whole genome shotgun sequence